AUGAAGCCCAAUAAGCAUGCCUCAAGACUACCAACAGGUCCAUGUCAUCUACACGGCGGCCAUCUUGCCCGGUCCAUCUUCACGGCGGGCAUCUUGCGUCCCGAUGAUACGGCGUGGACUACUGCGGAAAAACGAGUGGGUCUGAACCAAGGCUGCCAUCUGAGUGCUGCAUAUCACGAUGGCAAUAUCCUAGUGUGCAUUAGCAUGCAUUUCUGGUUUGUGCUCAUGCCGGACUUCGAAGGCAAAGGUGGCGCGAGAGGAGGGAAACUCGAAAUGAGGAGUGAUGCUAGGGAUGAAAUGAAACAUUAUAGCUACGUCUUCAAAUCACGCAAUGAGCUAAUGGGUCUUGCACUGCAGGAUGAAUUAGUGAAUACCCUCGCAUUUCGUUCUUUCCAAAUGUUCCACCACACAAGAGCGAUAAUGGACCGCCAAGUCUUUGCCUUGUCCUUGGUCAUCGCCGAAUUGGAGCGUUGCCACCAGCUAGACUGGGACGACUAUGGCUGCAUGGGGCACAACCCGAUUAGCGCACCAGCGGUGACUAUGCAUACCCUCGUAAGGGCAAAUGGCGGCAAGAAGAUGCGUUGGAUGCCGAGGGACGGCCAGAGUUUGAGGGACCAUGUCCUGUUUCUUGGGUCACCUUUGAGCUUCACCGAUGAUGCCACACAUCUAGGUGUGGACGGCGGGUGCGCCUACUUUGUCUUCAAGGGAUGCGUGUUUAGAUACAACCUUAUGAACGAUGAGGCUAAACUUAUGGAGCAGCUGAGUCCCAAAUGGGGUUCCGACAGGCCACAUGUGUGGCUCCAGCCCUAUCCACCAGCCAUUGCUCCAAUAUACGAAAUUAUAAAAAGGGUCAAGGCUUCAACCAAGAAGGAAGCGAAGAAAGAAAAUAGGCAAUUUAGUGGCUUGAACCAAGGUUUUGGUUACCGAAUGGGGCAUUUUUACCGAGGGGGGCGGUAA
rnacentral:rRNA from 1 species